rnacentral:rRNA from 1 species
AAAUCCAGUCAGAAAAUAGGCAAAGGCUAGUACUUGGAUGGGAGACCGCCUGGGAAUACUGGGUGCUGUAGGUU